rnacentral:tRNA from 1 species
GUAGAUAGCUCAGUCGGUAGAGCACGAGACUCUUAAUUUCAGGGUCGUGGGUUUGAGCCCCAUGUUGAGCA